UCCAAUUAUCUAAACUAAAUCACUAACAUAGAUCUUAUCCAAUUCAUUCUUGCUAAUCUAUUGAGAAACCUCUUGAAGAAAUCACUAAACCUUUCAAUGUAAAAAUGUAAUUUAGGAAUAGUUUGCGAGCCUUUGUUGACUGAACAGUAAAAUUGAACGCAAUCAAGCAAUAAAAUAUUUGUCUUGAAAAUCGAUUAAUCAAAUUAAGGUAAAAAUCAGUCAAUAGAAAUGCUCUUAAAGUCUAAUUGUUGUCUUAAUGGUUACAUAUUUGAUUUGUAUUGAGAAAGAUGUUAGUGAUGUGCGACUUGAAAAUGAAAUGUUGAUAUUUUUUUGUUGACCGUCCAUUGUUAACUCAGUACUCAUGAUUAUAGACCCAGGGUUCAUGAAACUUGGAAUACUCAUGUUAAAGGUCACAUAACACCCGAACAUAGUGGACUAUCUUUUGGUUAUAUGAAUUUCAAGGAAUUUAAAGGACAAUUGGCAUGACCAUUAUGGGGGUGAACAUGGUGGUUGGUGGUAAUCACAUUUAUUAAUCAUUGUCUGUUGAUCAAUUUUUGAUUAAUCUUCAUUUUAAACGCUCUGUGGUUACAUUGAAAUAAUUAUUGUUCCAGAUUUCCGUUAAUUCAUUACUAACCCAAUCAUCCAAUUGUCUGUGCCAGUUUCCCAUGAACAAAUGUAUUCAAAGAAAAAAUUAUUGUGCCUAAUUUAUUUCACCCUGAUUAUGUAUUAUGUAUCUAUUAAUUAUUGAUUAACCCUGUUGACAGAAUAAUGAAGAUAUAAUAAAUUCUUCAUAUAACUUA